CCAAUAGCGUAUAUUAAAGUUGCUGCAGUUAAAAAGCUCGUAGUUGAAUUUCGGGACCAUCAUGUCGGUCGUGCCUCGGUACGUACUGGUAUUGUUGGUUUCUCCCUUCUGACGAACCAUGAUGUCAUUUAUUUGGUGUUGUGGGGAAUCAGGACUGUUACUUUGAAAAAAUUAGAGUGUUUAAAGCAGGAUCACGCUUGAAUACAUUAGCAUGGAAUAAUGAAAUAGGACGUUUGAUUCUAUUUUGUUGGUUUCUAGGAUCGACGUAAUGAUUAAUAGGGAUAGUUGGGGGCAUUAGUAUUCAAUUGUCAGAGGUGAAAUUCUUGGAUUUAUUGAAGACUAACUACUGCGAAAGCAUUUGCCAAGGAUGUUUUCAUUAAUCAAGAACGAAAGUUAGGGGAUCGAAGACGAUCAGAUACCGUCGUAGUCUUAACCAUAAACUAUGCCGACUAGGGAUCGGAUGAUGUUAAUUUUUUAAUGACUCAUUCGGCGCCUUACG
rnacentral:rRNA from 1 species